UACGUAGGGUGCAAGCGUUGUCCGGAAUUAUUGGGCGUAAAGAGCUCGUAGGCGGUUUGUCGCGUCGAAUGUGAAAACCCGGGGCUCAACCCCGGGCCUGCAUUCGAUACGGGCAGACUAGAGUUCGGUAGGGGAGUCUGGAAUUCCUGGUGUAGCGGUGGAAUGCGUAGAGGAAUCCGGAAGAACACCAGUGGCGAAGGCGGACCU
rnacentral:rRNA from 1 species